UAAAGUUUUGUUUAAUAAUUAAUAAAUACUAAUUAUGUAGCUAUCUAACGAAUUGAUCUAUCAUACGAAAUAUAACAUAAGAAGAAAACAGAAGGGAAGAGCUUGAUACCAGUCAGAAAUCAAGGAUGAUAGCGUACUUCGCUCAAUGCAUGAAAGUGUCUAGCAUGCUUAGAACAUAUAUUACUAUAUGCUCUAAGCUAAUAUAUGUUGCUAAUAUGGUAAUAUAUGUUCUAAGCUAGCAUGCAUCUGAACAGCAGUAUGCAAGCCCAUCAUACAGGAAAUUAUGCAUCGUGUGAGGAUGGCCUGUAGCAAACUGAAAGCUACAGUCUUGAGUAUAAAACACCUCCAUAUCCCUUAUCGCAUUUUUUGCAAUUGCAAAUACUGAUAACAAAUUAUGUUUACCGAAAAAAGAUCGCAAAUGGGAAAUGUGUCUUUGUUAUUACCAAUUCUGUUAGCACACUUCCGUCAAUAUACAACAACUUUUGUCGGCAAAAUAUAUAACAGAAUGGCAGCUAACAGUACCUAACUGCGAAACUUUAUGUCAAAAACAUGAAUUUUGAUAAUAACACACUGAAGCAUCCGAGCCAAAAAGAUGUUUGAGUAGGGGAAAAACAGGGCUGGAAACAUCAAUUGAACAUUUGGGUGACUACUCUUCAUGAAACAACAUACAAAUGAAUUAAUUGUGAAUAAAAUUGUACAUUUAUAUAU